GCCAAGCAGUAUGUCUGGUGAGGGGCCUGGAGCACAAGUCCUGUGAGGAGUGUCUGGGGGAACUGGUGUUGUUUAGUCUAGAGGCUCAGGGGAGACCUUAUGGCUCUUUACAGCUGCCUGAAAGAAAGGUGUGGGAACUGGGGGUCAGCCUCUUCUCACAGGUAACUAGCAAUAAGACCAGAGGGAAUGGCCUCAAGUUGUGCCAGCGGAGGUUCAGGUUGGAAAUGAGGAGACAUUUCUUCUCAGAAAGAGCAGUCAGGCAUUGGAACGGGUUGCCCAGGGAGGUGGUGGCAUCACUGC